rnacentral:rRNA from 1 species
AGCAGCCGCGGUAAUUCCAGCUCCAAUAGCGUAUAUUAAAGUUGUUGCAGUUAAAAAGCUCGUAGUUGAAUUUCGGGACCAAUCGUGCCGGUCGUGCCUCCGGUACGCACUGGUUUUAUUGGUCUCUCCCUUCUGACGAACCAUGAUGUCAUUAAUUUGGUGUUAUGGGGAGUUAGGACUGUUACUUUGAAAAAAUUAGAGUGUUUAAAGCAGGCAUUAGCUUGAAUACAUUAGCAUGGAAUAAUGAAAUAGGACGUUUGAUCCUAUUUUGUUGGUUUCUAGGAUCGACGUAAUGAUUAAUAGGGAUAGUUGGGGGCAUUAGUAUUCAAUUGUCAGAGGUGAAAUUCUUGGAUUUAUUGAAGACUAACUACUGCGAAAGCAUUUGCCAAGGAUGUUUUCAUUAAUCAAGAACGAAAGUUAGGGGAUCGAAGACGAUCAGAUACCGUCGUAGUCUUAACCAUAAACUAUGCCGACUAGGGAUCGGAUGAUGUUAAUUUUUUAAUGACUCAUUCGGCGCCUU